AUGCAAGUCGAACGAAGCAGCAGUGAAGGAGGCUUCGGCCAAUGGAUCUGUUGACUUAGUGGCGGACGGGUGAGUAACGCGUGAGCAACCUGCCUUUCAGAGGGGGAUAACGUUUGGAAACGAACGCUAAUACCGCAUGAAGUAUCUUUGCUGCAUGACAGAGAUACCAAAGGAGCAAUCCGCUGAGAGAUGGGCUCGCGUCCGAUUAGAUAGUUGGUGGGGUAACGGCCUACCAAGUCGACGAUCGGUAGCCGGACUGAGAGGUUGAACGGCCACAUUGGGACUGAGACACGGCCCAGACUCCUACGGGAGGCAGCAGUGGGGAAUAUUGCACAAUGGGCGAAAGCCUGAUGCAGCAACGCCGCGUGAGGGAAGACGGUUUUCGGAUUGUAAACCUUUGUCCUUGGUGAAGAUCAUGACGGUAGCCGAGGAGGAAGCCACGGCUAACUACGUGCCAGCAGCCGCGGUAAUACGUAGGUGGCAAGCGUNGUCCGGAAUUACUGGGUGUAAAGGGAGCGCAGGCGGGAGAGCAAGUCAGUGGUGAAAUGCAUGGGCUUAACCCAUGAACUGCCAUUGAAACUGUUUUUCUUGAGUGGAUCAGAGGCAAGCGGAAUUCCGAGUGGUACGGUGAAAUGCGU
rnacentral:rRNA from 1 species